UACGGGGGGGGCAAGCGUUGUUCGGAAUUACUGGGCGUAAAGGGCUCGUAGGCGGCCAAUUAAGUCCGACGUGAAAUCCCCAGGCUUAACCUGGGAACUGCGUCGGAUACUGGAUGGCUUGAAUUCGGGAGAGGGAUGCAGAAUUCCAGGUGUAGCGGUGAAAUGCGUAGAUAUCUGGAGGAAUACCGGUGGCGAAGGCGGCAUCCUGGACCGGCAUUGACGCUGAUGAGCGAAAGCUAGGGGAGCAAACGGG
rnacentral:rRNA from 1 species